ensembl:lncRNA
CUAAUAAAAGGCUGCUCUCUUCUCUGGCUGUAGCUCUCUCUCUCUCUUUCUCCUAUUUGCCUUUCUCUUUCUCCGUUUCAUUUAUUUUAUUUUCCUCUGUUUGUCUUGCCAACCUACGUAGCACAGCAUGCUCAACAUCAGCAUAGGGAGAUAGAUAGAACAGCAAAAGUGAGGCAGAAGAAAAGGACAGAAAUAUGUCUAGCUCUAACAUCUCACUCCGUGUGAAUGCAGCCUACUGUGUCAUCCAUCAUCCAUCUGUGUGGGGGACAUCUUUGAUCUGUCAAAGAAGAGGAUCUUUGAUUUACCAGAGUUGGAUAUCUUUGUGACCUGUUGAGGAAAAAUCUCUUUUGAAAUCUACUAGAAAAGGAUAUCUUUGUACAGUGGGGGAUCUCUCCUCAUUGUGUAUUUCUAAGGAGGAUAGGAGAGCAUGUGUCCUUUGUGUUGGCCAAGGAAAGGCUCUCGGAAUACUGUAAUGGUUAAAGACUUGAUUCAGGGAUGGCCCCCUUACUACUGAAUUGUCGACAGUACAUGUCGACUGUAGAGACAGGUUCACUAUGCUGACCUUUGCUUUGGUGAAGGCAAAAGAAAUUUGACAAAUGUGAUAUGAUAUUGAGCUAUAAAUGCAUUCAACUCAACUUUUCAUCUGCCAAUAAUGCGUAGGACACCACCCCGUCUUGACGGAACACAACAAAAGAUCGACAAUCAGCAAGGUGAGGAAGAACAGGAGAGAAAAGAGGCGGAACAAGAAGAGGAAGAGAAGGGAGAAGAGGAGGGUCACCAUGAUUUGGCUAAAUCUUCUCUAUGCCCGUCCUGUAGGCGUGGUUUUGACGUUGCCCUUCUCCUACCAUGCUCCCAUACCCUGUGUGGGCGCUGUGUAGGAGGUGGAGAGGGGGCAGGGCGAUGUGUACUGGAUGAGGAAGGGGAUGGUGUGUCCCAUGCUUCCCGUGGUGGCACCCAUUCUGCCCACCACCGCUCUACCAGUACGCCUGUGUGUGCCGUGCUGUGCCCUUGUUGUCGCCACCCUGUGGAGCUGCCAUGCUGGGAGUGGGCUUCUGCCACCUGUUGCCUGCCCCCCGACCCCACCCUGACCCCUGGGUGGACAGCCAGCAGUGCUGGGGACCAGGCGGAAGAAGGGAUGAAGGCCUUCUCACAGAGGAAUCCAUUCGGCAGAGACAAAGAGGAUGUCACGGACCAGAUCACUGCUGCAUAUGGCUUACCACUGGAGGAAACUAUAGAUCUACGAGAGGAGGAGAUGGAACAGUCUGUCUCAGGUCUGACGUUCACCCUGGACCCCUCUGCUGCUGCUCCAUCCCUCCAUCUCUCCACCUCUUCUCUCUCACUGUGACGUUCCAUGGACCAAGCCCUCCGCCACUACCCUCUCGCCAUCAUGGAAACAGGGUCACAGGGUCAGUAACAAGCACUGAAUCCCAGGAGUCUGCCCCCCAUCCACUCCCUCAGGUGUGUGGGGACGUGGUCAUCAUCAGGGGUCAGUUCUACUGGGAGGUUGACGUAUGCAACAGCACCCUCUACAGGAUAGGAGUGAGCUCAUUGGACGAUGCUUGCGGCUGGUGGCUGGAAAGGCAGGGCUUGUCCUUCUCCACUGUGUAUGAUAGCUGUCGGGAGCCCUUACGUGCCGUGCCACCCCAGAUCAAGACCCUAGGGCUGUUCCUCAACAUGGGUGGAGGGACGUUGAGCUUCCACAACCCUCUGACCCAGGAGCACCUGGCCACCCUACCCACUCGCUUCAGCCAUGCUGGGGUACGUCCCGCUCUGGGGCUGGGCCAGGGCAGGCUGAGGCUCCACUGUGGCCUACCCCCUCCACCCCACGUCUUUCUCAGCCGAGCAUCCGACUAUAGAGGGCCUACUGGAGCUGGUGGGGGUCGCUGGCGCAGAGACAUGCCCUUCCGGUCUGUACGGAUGGUCAUCCAGAAGUUUGAGGAGCUGGCGGUGUCAGAUUCUGACUCAGGGCUGGUGUCCAGUUUUGGGUCAUCCUGCUCCACUCUGGCCGAACCAGGCCCAGGCCUCAGCUUCAGCCUCAGCCCAGGAGCAGCUCUCCAUUCUGGGAAAGAGAGAAAGGAGGCGGGGGCAGAGUGACAUAUGGAGGACAGAGUAUAGUACCUUGUACAAUGAAGGGCCUCUACCCUGCUGGUGAUAGGAGCAAACUGCUACCACAUCACGCUGGCACAUCGUCACAUUGCAAAUAGGUUGUCACAAGGUUGGUCAUGACAAUGUGACAAAUUUGGGAUAAACUUGUGAGAUGGAAGGACCAUUCUUCUGCUGUAUGAUGGGAGAAAAUUGAAUAACACACCAACUCUUUGGGAUGAGUUUGAUCUUUGGAUGACCAUUUCCAUGUCUAAUUUCCCAUCUCUGAAGAACUCUCUGUGACUUCUCCCCAGGAUGCUGGACUUCCUCUCAGCUACACAACCCCUGGAGGUUUGGGGCUGGGCCAGCGCUGUCUGUGUUAGGAGAAUGUCUCACUGGGGGUCCCACACUCUGGUGUGGGGGUUGAUUGUAGGACAGUAGGGUUGAUAUGGAUGGUGGUGGUGUGUGUGUGUGAGAUUGUGAGGCGUGGGAGUCAGUGGCGGUAACACUACCAGUGUUGACUCAGGGUCACAAAGACAGGUGGUAACGUACGUUUAUCCCACAGGACGUUUGUGUGUGUGUGUGUGUGUGUGUGUGUGUGUGUGUGUGUGUGUGUGUGUGUGUGUGUGUGUGUGGCGUGCAUGAAUGGGCUGGGCCCAGAAGACCUCUGAUGACCACAGGACCCUAACGACUUCAAAAGACAGGCAGGGAAAGAGGGAAUGACAAAGAUAAAGGGAAGGAGUAGGCCUUUAUAGAAAUAUAGCAGGUGGAGAGAUGGUUGGAGCAGGAAUAAGUCAGAAAUGUUAGAUUGUUUGUCCAAAUGAUUGUGAUAUUCAUUCCUACUGCAACAUUAUUUGUCUGGUCAUCUGAACCAGGAAGUAGUAUUAAAGAGGGAUUUCCCAUCCUGUCUCUCCAUGAUCUCUCUUUUCUCUUUUUCUGCUGUUUGCAUGUUCUGGAACAGACACUGGAAUCAUUUGGUCAGACCACCCAGAUUGUAAAUCAGCUGUAAAUUACAUUGUAAUUUUUUUUUUUUAAAGUUUUUACCGCAGGAAUAAAAAUGUGCAACCAGCCAAAUGUGUAUACUGCCAACAAAAUGUGUAUACUGCCAACAAAAUGUGUAUACUGCCAACAAAAUGUGUAUACUGCCAACAAAAUGUGUAUACUGC